rnacentral:rRNA from 1 species
UGGGGAAUAUUGGACAAUGGGCGCAAGCCUGAUCCAGCCAUACCGCGUGGGUGAAGAAGGCCUUCGGGUUGUAAAGCCCUUUUGUUGGGAAAGAAAUCCUGUCGAUUAAUACUCGGUGGGGAUGACGGUACCCAAAGAAUAAGCACCGGCUAACUUCGUGCCAGCAGCCGCGGUAAUACGAAGGGUGCAAGCGUUACUCUGAAUUACUGGGCGUAAAGCGUGCGUAGGUGGUGGUUUAAGUCUGCUGUGAAAGCCCUGGGCUCAGCCUGGGAAUUGCAGUGGAUACUGGGUCACUAGAGUGUGGUAGAGGGAUGCGGAAUUUCUGGUGUAGCAGUGAAAUGCGUAGAGAUCAGAAGGAACAUCCGUGGCGAAGGCGGCAUCCUGGGCCAACACUGACACUGAGGCACGAAAGCGUGGGGAGCAAACAGG